AGUGAACGUUGGCGGCGUGGAUUAGGCAUGCAAGUCGAGCGAGAACCGUAGCAAUACGGGGACAGCGGCGAAAGGGACAGUAAUGUGUAGGUACCUACCCCGGGGUCUGGGAUAGCUGCGGGAAACUGCAGGUAAUACCGGAUAAUGUCUUCGGACCAAAGGUGUGAUUCCACCUUGGGAGGGGCCUGAAUCCUAUUAGCUUGUUGGCGGGGUAACGGCCCACCAAGGCAACGAUGGGUAGCGGGUGUGAGAGAACGACCCGCGUCAUUGGGACUGAGAUACUGCCCAGACACCUACGGGUGGCUGCAGUCGAGGAUCUUCGGCAAUGGGCGAAAGCCUGACCGAGCGACGCCGCGUGCGGGAUGAAGGCCUUCGGGUUGUAAACCGCUGUCGUAGAGGAGGAAAUGCAGGGGGGUUCUCCCUUCUGUUUGACCUAUUCUAGGAGGAAGGACGGGCUAAGUUCGUGCCAGCAGCCGCCGUAA
rnacentral:rRNA from 1 species